AACGUAGGUGGCAAGCGUUAUCCGGAUUUACUGGGCGUAAAGCGUGUGCAGGCGGCAGUUCAAGUGGUGUAUGAAAUCGCCCGGCUUAACCGGGCGGGGUUAUGCCAGACUGGGCUGCUGGAGGACGGGAGAGGGGCGUGGAAUUCCGGGUGUAGUGGUGAAAUGCGUAGAGAUCCGGAGGAACCCCAGCGGCGAAGGCGGCGCCCUGGCCCGUACCUGACGCUCAGACACGACAGCAUGGGGAGCGAACGGG
rnacentral:rRNA from 1 species